rnacentral:lncRNA from 1 species
AAACUAUCCCGAGGUCUUUAACGAACUUAUUCGUUUGAUUAAUUAACAUAUUAAUUAAUCCUUGACAUACAUAAUUAAACCAUUUAAUUAUUCUUACUCAUCUCCAUUGUUUCUUCAAUCUCCACCUUACACGGUGUACGAUCCAUUAGGUUCCUUUUAGCGAGGCAGUGGGCGAUUAAAACCAUUUUACAUUGAUUGUGAAUUGAAACUUACUUUCAAUUCUCCCUUUAGUGAUUACACACGUUUAGGGCUUCCACAAAC